GACGAACCGAGCGAACGUUGUUCGGAAUCACUGGGCUUAAAGGGCGCGUAGGCGGGUGCUCAAGUCCGUAGUGAAAUCCUCCGGCUCAACCGGAGAACUGCCUCGGAUACUGGGCGUCUCGAGUGUGGUAGGGGUAUGCGGAACUAUCGGUGGAGCGGUGAAAUGCGUUGAUAUCGAUAGGAACUCCGGUGGCGAAGGCGGCAUACUGGACCACCACUGACGCUGAUGCGCGAAAGCCAGGGGAGCAAACGGG
rnacentral:rRNA from 1 species